UACACAGCCUAGCCCAUGUCCCA
rnacentral:misc_RNA from 1 species